GUGAGGAAUAUUGCGCAAUGGAGGCAACUCUGACGCAGCCAUGCCGCGUGCAGGAAGAAGGCGCUACGCGUUGUAAACUGCUUUUAACCGGGAAGAAACCCCAGGACGUGUCCUGGGUUGACGGUACCGGAGGAAUAAGCACCGGCUAACUUCGUGCCAGUAGCCGCGGUAAUACGAAGGGUGCAAGCGUUAUCCGGAUUCAUUGGGUUUAAAGGGUGCGUAGGCGGAGCGUUAAGUCAGUGGUGAAAUCCUGCAGCUUAACUGUAGACUUGCCAUUGAUACUGGCGCUCUUGAGUGCGCUUGAAGUGGGCGGAAUGUGCCGUGUAGCGGUGAAAUGCUUAGAUAUGGCACAGAACACCAAUUGCGAAGGCAGCUCACUAAGGCGAUACUGACGCUGAGGCACGAAAGCGUGGGGAUCGAACAGGAUUAGAAACCCCUGUAGCC
rnacentral:rRNA from 1 species